ensembl:lncRNA SATB2-AS1 SATB2 antisense RNA 1
GGGACCCGGGACCGCGCGCGGGAGGAAACGCGGCGGCCGCCCAAGCUGUCACCUCCAGCCUCUCCCCUCUCGGCCGCCUCUGCCAGCAGCCAGAGCCGGACUCACUGACAAGCCGCAGAGAGAGACACACUGAGAGGGAGAUGAUUAUUAGUUGCGUUGAGUCAUCAGGCAAACCUUAGGUGCCGGGCUUCAGCCGAAGCGUUUUUCAAAUUUGUCAUCAUUGGAAACCUCGGACAAGUGGAGUGUAAAAUUUUGAGGGUUUCCAGAAUCCAAGGCACUUGAAACAUUCUGAGUGUGCCUGCAGUAGGGUCUCAGAGGAGUUGCUCUGAAAGCUGUUGAGAGCAGCCACCUUUGCUGUCACUGAGAGCUUGGCAGGGUCAGCUCUGGUGGGCCGUUUGCACCCAGGCUCUGAUGGCACCAGGAUGGCUUCCUGCAACCCGACAACAUCACUCAAACAACCCUAUUACU